CUCUCCCACACCAACGCCGCCGCCCCCGCCCCCGUCCUUGUCCGCCUUAGAUCUCCACCGCCCAUGAUGACCCCCAUCGGUGUCGAUGGUGCCCGGUGCAUCGAGGUCGACCUCGCCUCCUUCCAUAGUCGUGCGAGGUCGAAUCCUCGGCUCCCUCCCUUCGACACCACCGACGGUGUGUCGAGGUCGAUCCGUCGAUGUCGCCCCCCUCUCCCGCACCAGACCCCGCGGAGAAGUCCGAGCCUCCUCCAUUGGCCUGCGAGCGUGGCGAUGACAAGCGCUAGAGGAACCGUUGGUGCUUGGCUCCUCCGCUAUCUCAGGGUCGUCGCGCACCACCAUGCUGUCGUGCUCCUAUUCUCCGUGGCCCUCCACGGCUCGGCGCUGACGAGGACCGACGGGAUCCCCGCCACUGCUUCCUCCACCUAGCGGCGAGAGCUGUGCCCGCUCUUCACUACGCCGGCACACCACGCUGCUCAGAUCCGUCAUGGUGGAAACCCGAUACAGGUGGCCUUCCUUCAGAUCUUUUUUGGUUUCUGUCGAAUUUGUCAGCUGCUCAGAGGAGGUGAGGUUGUUAUUCUUUUUUGUUUGAUGGGAGUUAUUCCCAACUUAUUGGUUGGUCGAUUUUGUUCCUGCUACCAUGGACAGCCAGCCACCAUGGCCUCUGAACUUUUGUCUUUCCGUGAGCUUGGAGAGCUGACACUUCACUUUUUUGUGCCUAUAUUUGGCCACAUUGUUUCUUAGCAAAUAUUCAUCAUCUAACAUUAUACAUAUGAUUCUCUGUUUUGCCACUUCAGAGGAAGUGACUAGAAUACGUAGGGAAAAAGAAGAAGGAAACAACAGUCUUGCAAGCUAAUAAAGAAACAGUAGCUUGCUCACAAAAUUUCCAUGAGUGGUAACGCUUCUCUUCAUACAUAUAAUCUGAUUUUCACCACUAAUAAUUAGAAACUACAGGAUUGUAGACACACUGAUUUAUUUGAGAGGAACACAAGUGAAUUUUACCUUAGUUAUGCCAGUUCUAUUUUCUUUCAGAAAAUCCUUUUUAUGGAUUGAUGGUGGGACUUGGGAUUAAACAUAUACAUGUGUGGAAGCUUCUCUUUGCAUAAUUUUGUUAGUGAUGCAUCUAUAUUUUUCCUCUUAACUUGGGGAUCUUUCAAAAAGGAAGCACCUCAUGUGUGAGAAUUGGUUGUAUUUACUAUUUUCUAUACAACCUGAAUGUACUAGAAGGAUCAACAUUCAUGAAACUAUAACCAGCCAUAGUAAUCUUGCUAUUGAUACAUACACACUGAAAGUCUAAAGACAUGCUAGUAAAAGCUACUUUCUUUGAAAGCAGCAAUACCAUUUAUAUUCAAUGGGACUGCCAUUGCCGCACCUUUGAUUGCUUUUUAAUCUUGCUAUACAUAUAUACACACUGGAAGUAUGAAAAUAUGCUGGCAAAAGCUACUUGCUUUGAAAGCAGCAAUAAGGUUUAUAUUCAGCGGGACUGCAAUUGUGACACCUUAUAGCUAUAACUCCUCUUGAAAUUGAAUUGUGAAAGGAUGUGUCAUAUUGGAAGUGAAACUGUGUGCAUGUAAGCUCUAAUCAAGCUCUUCCGGUGAAAUUCAACUUUUUUUACGACAUAGUAACACAGUUAUGUUUGAUGGCCAUGAAGGCAUCAACACAAACACGUGUUUUUAAUUCACUCAUUUAUUGUAUGGUUUUGAAUCAUGUUAGACACAUCCCAGUUUUGGAAGUGAACUGUGUAAACAUACAGACACCUAUUAUCAUGCUAGCACACAGUUUUCGCUGAACGACUCCACCGGCGACCACCAUCCUCCGUGGAAUGCCUUCGCUCAUCGCGAGCUAGCGUACUCUCCGAGCAGGCCUCCUCCCGGCAAGCUUCACCGAGCACCAACCUGCGGGUCCACAUCCUCCACGUCCUCUGCAUUGAAGCAACAGAGCAUCUACCCUCCGCAACGUUCUUCCCCUGGAUCAAUAGCGCUGCCUCCUUUUCCCCUUUAUUUGUCAGGUUUCCCUACAGAAGUUGAUGGGGGUUUCGAAGAUCUUCAAGCUGCUGAAGAUUUGGGAGAUUCGGAAGAUCUUUAAGCGGUUGAAGAUAUGGUAGAGUGAUUAUGCUUUGUUUGUGGAACCUAUACACUUGCUCUGCUCAUUUUGCCGGUUGUUAGGCCACAAUAUGCUCAUUUUGGUUGUGUGGCACCCCAGAAACAUAUGUUCUUUUGUGGCACACAUGUAGAAACAUAUAUGUAUUGUACCUUUUGUGGCACAACCUGCUUAUAUAUAUAUGGUUGUUAUGUUAA